GAUGAACGCUGGCGGCGUGCCUAACACAUGCAAGUCGAACGGAGUUUUUAGAGGAAACCUUUCGGGGUGGAACCUUUGAACUUAGUGGCGGACGGGUGAGUAACGCAUGAGCAAUCUGCCUUCAAGAGGGGGAUAACGUUUGGAAACGAACGCUAAUACCGCAUAACAUAACGAGGUCGCAUGGCUUUGUUAUCAAAGGAGCAAUCCGCUGGGAGAUGGACUCGCGUCCAAUUAGCUAGUUGGUGAGGUAAAGGCCCACCAAGGCGACGAUUGGUAGCCGGACUGAGAGGUUGAACGGCCACAUUGGGACUGAGACACGGCCCAGACUCCUACGGGAGGCAGCAGUGGGGAAUAUUGCGCAAUGGGGGAAACCCUGAUGCAGCGACGCCGAGUGAGGGAAGAAGGUUUUCGGAUUGUAAACCUCUGUCCCGGUUGAAGAUAAUGACGGUAGACCGGGAGGAAGCUACGGCUAAUUACGUGCCAGCAGCCGCAGUAAAAC
rnacentral:rRNA from 1 species